GUACUCGCGAAUGCUCUAGAUUAGAGUUUGAUCAUGGCUCAGAUUGAACGCUGGCGGCAGGCCUAACACAUGCAAGUCGAACGGUAACAGGAAGCAGCUUGCUGCUUUGCUGACGAGUGGCGGACGGGUGAGUAAUGUCUGGGAAACUGCCUGAUGGAGGGGGAUAACUACUGGAAACGGUAGCUAAUACCGCAUAACGUCGCAAGACCAAAGAGGGGGACCUUCGGGCCUCUUGCCAUCGGAUGUGCCCAGAUGGGAUUAGCUAGUAGGUGGGGUAGCGGCUCACCUAGGCGACGAUCCCUAGCUGGUCUGAGAGGAUGACCAGCCACACUGGAACUGAGACACGGUCCAGACUCCUACGGGAGGCAGCAGUGGGGAAUAUUGCACAAUGGGCGCAAGCCUGAUGCAGCCAUGCCGCGUGUAUGAAGAAGGCCUUCGGGUUGUAAAGUACUUUCAGCGUGGGAGGAAGGUGUUGAGGUUAAUAACCUCAGCAAUUGACGUUACCCGCAGAAGAAGCACCGGCUAACUCCGUGCCAGCAGCCGCGGUAAUACGGAGGGUGCAAGCGUUAAUCGGGAAUUACUGGGCGUAAAGCGCACGCAGGCGGUCUGUCAAGUCGGAUGUGAAAUCCCGGGCUCAAACUGGAACUGG
rnacentral:rRNA from 1 species